UACGAAGGGGGCUAGCGUUGCUCGGAAUUACUGGGCGUAAAGCGCACGUAGGCGGACUUUUAAGUCGGGGGUGAAAUCCCGGAGCUCAACUCCGGAACUGCCUUCGAAACUGGAAGUCUUGAGUUCGGGAGAGGUGAGUGGAACUGCGAGUGUAGAGGUGAAAUUCGUAGAUAUUCGCAAGAACACCAGUGGCGAAGGCGGCUCACUGGCCGGAUACUGACGCUGAGGUGCGAAAGCGUGGGGAGCAAACAGG
rnacentral:rRNA from 1 species